rnacentral:rRNA from 1 species
UACAGAGGUCUCAAGCGUUGUUCGGAUUCAUUGGGCGUAAAGGGCGCGUAGGCGGCUUUUUCAAGUGACGGGUGAAAUCCCUCGGCUUAACCGAGGAACUGCCUGCCAGACUGGAAGGCUUGAGACCGGGAGAGGUGAGUGGAAUUCCCAGUGUAGCGGUGAAAUGCGUAGAUAUUGGGAGGAACACCAGUGGCGAAGGCGGCUCACUGGACCGGAACUGACGCUGAGGCGCGAAAGCGUGGGGAGCAAACAGG